UGUAGGGUUUGCAGAUUUUGAAGAAUUCUUCCAUGAAUUCUGUUGGGAAAACAGCCGUGAGAAUGCAAUUCAAUGAUCUGAGCAGGGAGAUGAUAAUCAAAUCAGCAAGAAAGUAGGAAAUGCAUUGAACCUGAUGAGAAUUGGCCUUGUAUCAAUGACUUUAGCCUCACCAGCCCUCUUAAUGCCCGCAGGGCCCUCCUUGCCUGAGCGAACAAAAUUCUCAUUACAAAACCAAUUUUCAAUACCAUAUUUAAUGUCCCAAAUCCCAAAAGUAGUCAUUACAGAGAACCAAUUGAAUACUGUUUUUGAACACUCUGUAGACCAUUAAAUGACACAUUCAAAGCCAGCAUUGAAGUUAGGUGUAUAUGAUAUGCACGAAUUUGAUGCAAAAACCCAUGCUCUUUCUCAAGAAAAAGUACUGUUAAGUCAUGGCAAGCAGAAAGUUUGACUUGUAUAUUUUUGUUGUUUUUAGAAUAUCCAAUAGUUUUUGUCAUAUUUAUUUCUUUAGUUCCUAGGGCUUAAUCUUUGGUUUCUUUGUGAUUUUAAGACGAAUUUAAUGCAAAAACCCAUGCUCUUUCUCAAGAAAAAGUACUAAGUCAUGGCAAGCAGGAAGUUUGAUUUGUAUAUUUUUGUUGUUUUUAGAAUAUCGAAUAGUUUUGGUCAUAUUUAUUUCUUUAGUUCCUAGGGCUUAAUCUUUGGUUUCUUUGUGAUUUUAAGACUUUCAUUGGAGCUCCUAUAACUUGCUUUAAUCUCUGUUAGAUGUUAACCUUUUCUUCUUUAUUUAUUUUUUUUUUAUUAUUAUUUUUUUUAAUGUGGCAAAGAAAGAUGAUGAGCUAGUUAGCUAGCCAACUAACCUAAUGCUGUAAGUCAAUCUAACAUCUGCUCACUGCCUCUCUAAAGAAAUGCUGUGGGAGUUGUAAACAGAUCUCAAGAAUAACCAUGAAAUUUCAGACGACCUUACUUGAACCGGAACUGGUUGUCCUUGAAUUCUAAAGAAUAAUCAUAAAACUUUAACUAAAUUGAAGUGAACUCAAACUCUAGGGGCCUAGAUGAUGGUAAUUUAAACAAAAUCUGUCACUCAAGCUAAUGGCUACUUCAAUUACAAUUCUAUCCAAACCAAAUAACUGUUUUAAAAAGUAGUGAAUAGUUUCAAAACAACUAUAGCUUUCAAUUAUUGUCAGCAAUUCU